rnacentral:misc_RNA from 1 species
UCGUGUGUAACUUGUCGGUGAUGUGCUCUAUUCCGUGUAUAUGUUGGAUAACCUUAACAUUUCUCAUCAACUUACAGUCUGAGGAAACGUGAAAGUCGAUACCGUCAGCGUCAGCUAUUUUGUUCAAACUCAUUGUAUUCUACUGAAUGUGUCAUCGAAAUUAUACAGGAUUCAUCUUAAUUAUCGGCUGUUUCUGUUGAACUUGCUAGAUCACCGACCCCAGCAUGGAACAAUCUCUCAUUCCAUCUUAUAGAGAAUCUUGGAUAACUGAUUGGUUUCUAAAUUGGCAUGACUGACUUUAAGAGAAGUUAU